rnacentral:tRNA from 2 species
AUUAAGAUUUUAAGCAUUUCGCAAUUUCAUUGUUACUGAAUAGAAGUUUUUUUUUUUU